rnacentral:lncRNA from 1 species
GCAUAGCUUUUGUUCGAGUCUGGCGGUAAGGGUGUGCUGUUGCCUGUUGGACAUAAAGUGAUCAUGUUAAGAAUAUUUAAAUAUAGGGGUAUUUGAAAAAAAUUUUAACUCUCAAAAUUAAUAAUUAUAGCCAUCUAAUUUUUUUCCGAGACAAUUAAAGUUUAUUUUCUUCUGCGUUUAAUUUGAACAUUUCAAUUUGAGACUAGUUUAAGCUUUUUAAUUGAAUUUAUCAAAUUGGAUUCCUUCAAACUUUGUUUUGAAUGAAUCAGUUUUGGUCAUUUUGCUUGGAUCCAAAUCCGCUCUAAAUCAAUUUUUGGUAAUCUUACAUGCACUUGGAGGAAACUCGAAGUCCAAAUUUUAAUUUUACAGCUCAAAUUAUGAAUUGAAAAAUUACAAUUUUUUUUUUUUAAAAUUUGCCAGAGUUUUCACCCUCGCUUUCUCUUCAGGCCAAGUCCAGCACUACGCAUUUCCACCUCUAGCUAUGGACUGUUUUUUCCUCAUCUUUUUUCCAUUUACCUUCAACAAGAUUUGAUCAAAACUUCUCACUUUUCCUUCCAGGAAAUGCAGCAUUGCAAGACCCCAAAUGCAGCCACUACUGCUGCAGCAAAACUCCAAAGUCUAGCUACAAACAAAGUCAAAGAGUUCCAUUCGGGGUUCUACAAAACAGAGAUUUCACAAGCCAAAAAGGAGGGACACACGAAGAAAAACACAACGCAAAAGAAGCCGAAGCUCCUACUCUGCCCCACAGAAUAGCCAAGCCUUCCACAACAACAAAAACGCAACACCCAAGCCACCAUCGACAGCCUACCAACUCUGCCUCCACAAGCCACCAUGAAUCCCUCCAUAACCCAAUCUCCCUCCACCUUACUGAAUUGAGUCGAAACCACCUCUGAACCACCCCAACCGCACCGAGAACAGCUCCCGUUCCCCAUCCCUUACAACCUUUUGCACCAAAAUCACCCAAAAAUGGCACCAUCCCAGCCUCUAACCCCAACCAUGAAAAAUCCUAGCCCUUCCAAGAACCGAAACCCGCCACCACCAUUACCCAUUAACCCAUCUGCCCGAGACCCAUCCAAACACAAAAAAAAAAAGUCCUCAUCCCCUUUCGGAGAACAUCAGAAGAAUACACAGAACAAAACAAAGAAAAAUAAGAAAAAAAUAGAGAUAAAAAUGAGACUUCCUUCCUCUUAAGGUUCGGACUUAUGGUGUUUUAAGGAGAUUUGGGAGCUCAAAAUCGGUGUGGGGGAAGGUCACGUGAAGGAGAAAAACAUUUAAAAGGUGGGACUAUUUGGGCGGUCGAGAGCGGCGAAAAUGGGUAGGAAACCGUGGGUUUGACUUUUAGAUCUAGCAAAAUCUAGGUAGAUUCUGGAGAAACUAGUUUUAAAAAUGGAAAGAGGAUGGAAAAAGGACUAACGAGAAGUCGUGGAAACGGUUUCCCACCCAACGGUUUCCUGGUAGUCACUUGCCGUUCGUUGGCGCCAGAACAAGGAUGGAAAAAGGAGUAAGGAGAAUUAUUUUGGGUUGUUCUGGCGUCGACGAACGGCAGUAACUGGCGGCACCAACGUCGGAAUCUGUAAAGAAGGGUGGCUGUCGGCUGGCUU